AGUCUAUAUUCUUUGAUCAAGCCUCACAACAUGAAGUAGUUGCAAAGUAGAACAACUUUAACUUAUGUUUUGUGGGUAUUUCAGUUGUCUGCUGUUAAUAUUAAUAGUUUAUUAUUACAUAAUUGAAAAUUUGACGCUUUUCUGAAAAAAAUUUAGAACAAUAUGUCUUAUUGCGUAUCACAUGGCAAAGACAAAGUUAUGUUUUUAACAAAAGAAGAUCUCAGUGAACCUAGUUCUAUUGUAUUACCCGAAGAUGAUGAACCUAGAGGAUGGGACAACUGCCCAGAUACCUGAACAUGAGACUGAGUUCACCCAAGUCAUUCUUGGAAUUAUGCUAGCUGCAACACUAAUAAGCUCAUUAUAAUGAUGAAGUCUCGUUUUGAAGCAAUUAAAUUUGUUAGUCUCAGUACUCUGUUUCACUGUUGUGUCUAAUAUAUUUUCAAAUAAAAGGAUGAUACCACUAAA